rnacentral:rRNA from 1 species
UCCUGUUGAUCCUGCCGGACCUGACUGCUAUCGGAUUGGUACUAAGCCAUGCGAGUCGUUGUAGCAAUACAAGGCGGACUGCUCAGUAACACGUAGUUAACUUAACCUAUGGAUGGGCAUAACCUCGGGAAACUGAGAAUAAUACCCAAUGGACCACAGUGCCUGGAAUGGCCUGUGGUUGAAAUGAUUUAUCGCCGUAGGAUAGGACUGCGGCCUAUCAGCUUGUUGGUGAGGUAAUGGCCCACCAAGGCUAUAACAGGUACGGGCUCUGAGAGGAGGGGCCCGGAGAUGGGUACUGAGACACGGACCCAGGCCCUAUGGGGCGCAGCAGGCGAGAAACCUUUGCAAUGUGCGAAAGCACGACAAGGUUAAUCCGAGUGUCUCCUGCUAAAGGAGUCUUUUGUCAGUUGUAGAAUCACUGGUNGAAUUAAANGGGNGGUGGGCAAGUUCUGGUGUCAGCCGCCGCGGUAAAACCAGCACCUCGAGUGGUCAAAAGGGCGGCAAAGGGUUUAAUUGGGGCCCUAAAAGCCAUCCCCGUAGCCCGGUUGCAUAANGUUUUCCGGUUAAAAUCUAUGCGCUUAACGUAUAGGCCGCCGAAAAUACUGUGCAGCUAGGGAGUGGGAGAGGUA